GAGGUGCAGGGAGAGAGAAGGGGAGUAGGGAAAGAGAGAGAUAUGUGGGUUUGGGAGAGGCAGAUGACAUGAGACGAGAAAGGACAUAUAAUGAAACUUUUUCUGAGGAUAUAUGUAGCAGUAGUCAGACCUGUCUGAUGUAUGUGGUCUUGGUGUGGUGCAAUGACAGAAACCCCUUUACUGACACUGCAGCACAAUAGUAAAGAUAUAUAGCUGACAAGAGGUCAUCAUCCUGUCAUGUCUACAGAUGGUUCUGCUGCUGCCAACACAAAUACAUCACCCAGAGCCCACCCACACAACAGACACAGUCACAGCCUUUAUUAUAUAAAAACUCACAAUUUACACUGAGUAUCCUGACCAGGGCUAAACAAGAGAGAGCUCUAAUAAAUAAACAAUCCAGGAUCCAGAAACACACUGCACAGCUGCAUCAACCUGCCUCGAGGACACAGACAGAGUGAAAGAAGCCACGUGACGUCAGCUGACCUGCUCCAGCAGGAUUCUUUUUUACAAACAAGAAAAACUUUAAUCAGUAAAACAAAAACGAACACUGCAGGUCAGCAGAUAGCGGCUCUGUGCUGCCCGGAGGGCUGUUAACGGCAGCUAAACCUGACGAAGCGGGCACAGGAGGAAAGGGGCAGCGAAACAAAAUUUCAACAAAUAAACGACACCAUGGACUUCAUUCAGCUUGGAUCGCCAUUGAGACAGAAACUGCGAUUUUCUCAACUCUGCUUCUGCUAAAAACCGCAUGUGAAGAGCAGCCCAGAAAGCUGCCUCAGACUCAAGAGCCCUGAUUUUAUAAAUGUCUGAGAAUACCAUGCCAUGACAACCAGAACUCGCCAGAAGUGUGGCAGUAGGAAGGGUGAAAUUGAGAAAGGAGAUAUACAAAUUUUCUUGAAAAGUUGAUUGACCAGCUUGUAGACACAUGACCAGUCCAACCUGGAUGCUUCCCUACAUCUACAGGCCAGCCCAGGGACAGCAGGAACUCCAGAAAGUGAGGCUGAACAUUACUAGUAGACUCUACAUUCUUCAGGAUCUAAGACGUGCCACAUAGGAGUAAAGACAACCACUAUAUAUCUUUCAUGUAGAAUACGAAAACUGUAUCGAAGGGACGACAGGGAAGCAAAUCCAAGUAUCCAAUAUCAUCAAAGAAUCCAGCAAAGCUGGGGAACACUGGACCGCAGGAUUUUCAACAGCCGCCCCCAGGGGAGGGAAUGCUCAGCUACCAGACCGGAGAACUGUCUGCCUAAAGUGGGUGUCACCAGAGGAAUGAACCUGAAAACGCAAAAAACAUGUGGAUAGAGGACCAGAGUGCCGUACAACAGACUUGUUUAUCAAAGCUUUGUGUCGUGCUGCCCUGGACUUCGCCACUGCCCCUACGCAGACAACCUAUAUGGUGUUGGUCGCCUUGCACUAUGUAUGUGCGUUGUAAAUAACAAGCAGAGAAUCUGAGCGACAGACAGAAAAAAAACUUGUUCAAGUAAAACUGCAGAAAAUGUGGCCUACUCCACGAGACACAUAAAUGGUGGUACUCUGGAGUUGCAGGGGGGAGAAGCUUAGAAUUUAAAGCUACAGUAUAGUCUAUGAGCCAUGGUCCAGUGUUUCCCAGCUCUGCGGAAAGAGAAAUAUACAUAUCUCUCUCUCUCUCUCUAUAUAUAUAUAUAUAUAUAUAUACACACACAUAUAUAUAUAUAUAUAUAUAUAUAUACACACACACACAUACCUACAUAUACACACAUACAUACAUAUACACACACUUUUUUUUUAAUAGGUAAUAGAAGUUAAGUAUCCCAUAUCCAAAUAUUCAGAAAUACGGAAUAUUACGAAAUACAGAAAUUUUGGAGUUUGUUUCUGAUGGCUCACUGUACACAAACUUUGUUUAACGCACAAAGUAAUUAAAAAUAUUGUAUUUAAUGACCUUCAGGCUGUGUGUAUAAGGUGUAUAUGAAAC